rnacentral:rRNA from 1 species
GGGUUGUGAGGUUAAGCGACUAAGCGUACACGGUGGAUGCCCUGGCAGUCAGAGGCGAUGAAGGACGUGCUAAUCUGCGAUAAGCGCCGGUAAGGUGAUAUGAACCGUUAUAACCGGCGAUUUCCGAAUGGGGAAACCCAGUGUGAUUCGUCACACUAUCAUUAACUGAAUCCAUAGGUUAAUGAGGCGAACCGGGGGAACUGAAACAUCUAAGUACCCCGAGGAAAAGAAAUCAACCGAGAUUCCCCCAGUAGCGGCGAGCGAACGGGGAGGAGCCCAGAGCCUGAAUCAGCAUGUGUGUUAGUGGAAGCGUCUGGAAAGGCGCGCGAUACAGGGUGACAGCCCCGUACACAAAAGCGCAUGUGCUGUGAGCUCGAUGAGUAGGGCGGGACACGUGGUAUCCUGUCUGAAUAUGGGGGGACCAUCCUCCAAGGCUAAAUACUCCUGACUGACCGAUAGUGAACCAGUACCGUGAGGGAAAGGCGAAAAGAACCCCGGCGAGGGGAGUGAAAAAGAACCUGAAACCGUGUACGUACAAGCAGUGGGAGCACAGGUUUACCUGUGUGACUGCGUACCUUUUGUAUAAUGGGUCAGCGACUUAUAUUCUGUAGCAAGGUUAACCGAAUAGGGGAGCCGGAGGGAAACCGAGUCUUAAUUGGGCGUUAAGUUGCAGGGUAUAGACCCGAAACCCGGUGAUCUAGCCAUGGGCAGGUUGAAGGUUGGGUAACACUAACUGGAGGACCGAACCGACUAAUGUUGAAAAAUUAGCGGAUGACCUGUGGCUGGGGGUGAAAGGCCAAUCAAACCGGGAGAUAGCUGGUUCUCCCCGAAAGCUAUUUAGGUAGCGCCUCGUGAAUUCAUCUCCGGGGGUAGAGCACUGUUUCGGCUAGGGGGCCAUCCCGGCUUACCAACCCGAUGCAAACUGCGAAUACCGGAGAAUGUUAUCACGGGAGACACACGGCGGGUGCUAACGUCCGUCGUGAAGAGGGAAACAACCCAGACCGCCAGCUAAGGUCCCAAAGUCAUGGUUAAGUGGGAAACGAUGUGGGAAGGCCCAGACAGCCAGGAUGUUGGCUUAGAAGCAGCCAUCAUUUAAAGAAAGCGUAAUAGCUCACUGGUCGAGUCGGCCUGCGCGGAAGAUGUAACGGGGCUAAACCAUGCACCGAAGCUGCGGCAGCGACGCUGAUGCGUUGUUGGGUAGGGGAGCGUUCUGUAAGCCUGCGAAGGUGGCCUGUGAGGGUUGCUGGAGGUAUCAGAAGUGCGAAUGCUGACAUAAGUAACGAUAAAGCGGGUGAAAAGCCCGCUCGCCGGAAGACCAAGGGUUCCUGUCCAACGUUAAUCGGGGCAGGGUGAGUCGACCCCUAAGGCGAGGCCGAAAGGCGUAGUCGAUGGGAAACGGGUUAAUAUUCCCGUACUUGGUGUUACUGCGAAGGGGGGACGGAGAAGGCUAUGUUGGCCGGGCGACGGUUGUCCCGGUUUAAGCGUGUAGGUGUGUGUUCCAGGUAAAUCCGGUUCACUUUAACACUGAGGCGUGACGACGAGGCACUACGGUGCUGAAGCAACAAAUGCCCUGCUUCCAGGAAAAGCCUCUAAGCAUCAGGUAACAUCAAAUCGUACCCCAAACCGACACAGGUGGUCAGGUAGAGAAUACCAAGGCGCUUGAGAGAACUCGGGUGAAGGAACUAGGCAAAAUGGUGCCGUAACUUCGGGAGAAGGCACGCUGACACGUAGGUGAAGUGAUUUACUCAUGGAGCUGAAGUCAGUCGAAGAUACCAGCUGGCUGCAACUGUUUAUUAAAAACACAGCACUGUGCAAACACGAAAGUGGACGUAUACGGUGUGACGCCUGCCCGGUGCCGGAAGGUUAAUUGAUGGGGUCAGCGCAAGCGAAGCUCCUGAUCGAAGCCCCGGUAAACGGCGGCCGUAACUAUAACGGUCCUAAGGUAGCGAAAUUCCUUGUCGGGUAAGUUCCGACCUGCACGAAUGGCGUAAUGAUGGCCAGGCUGUCUCCACCCGAGACUCAGUGAAAUUGAACUCGCUGUGAAGAUGCAGUGUACCCGCGGCAAGACGGAAAGACCCCGUGAACCUUUACUAUAGCUUGACACUGAACAUUGAGCCUUGAUGUGUAGGAUAGGUGGGAGGCUUUGAAGUGUGGACGCCAGUCUGCAUGGAGCCGACCUUGAAAUACCACCCUUUAAUGUUUGAUGUUCUAACGUGGACCCGUUACCCGGGUUGCGGACAGUGUCUGGUGGGUAGUUUGACUGGGGCGGUCUCCUCCUAAAGAGUAACGGAGGAGCACGAAGGUUGGCUAAUCCUGGUCGGACAUCAGGAGGUUAGUGCAAUGGCAUAAGCCAGCUUGACUGCGAGCGUGACGGCGCGAGCAGGUGCGAAAGCAGGUCAUAGUGAUCCGGUGGUUCUGAAUGGAAGGGCCAUCGCUCAACGGAUAAAAGGUACUCCGGGGAUAACAGGCUGAUACCGCCCAAGAGUUCAUAUCGACGGCGGUGUUUGGCACCUCGAUGUCGGCUCAUCACAUCCUGGGGCUGAAGUAGGUCCCAAGGGUAUGGCUGUUCGCCAUUUAAAGUGGUACGCGAGCUGGGUUUAGAACGUCGUGAGACAGUUCGGUCCCUAUCUGCCGUGGGCGCUGGAGAACUGAGGGGGGCUGCUCCUAGUACGAGAGGACCGGAGUGGACGCAUCACUGGUGUUCGGGUUGUCAUGCCAAUGGCACUGCCCGGUAGCUAAAUGCGGAAGAGAUAAGUGCUGAAAGCAUCUAAGCACGAAACUUGCCCCGAGAUGAGUUCUCCCUGAGACUUUAAGUCUCCUGAAGGAACGUUGAAGACGACGACGUUGAUAGGCCGGGUGUGUAAGCGCAGCGAUGCGUUGAGCUAACCGGUACUAAUGAACCGUGAGGCUUAACCUUACAACGCCGAAG